rnacentral:rRNA from 1 species
CCUACGGGAGGCAGCAGUAGGGAAUUUUGCGCAAUGGGCGAAAGCCUGACGCAGCAACGCCGCGUGAUCGAGACGCCCUUCGGGGUGUAAAGCUCUGUCAGUGAGGACGAAACUUGACGGCACCCACAGAGGAAGCACCGGCUAACUCCGUGCCAGCAGCCGCGGUAAUACGGGGGGUGCAAGCGUUGUCCGGAGUCAUUGGGCGGAAAGAGUUCGUAGGCGGCACGGAAAGUCUGGUGUUAAAGGCAGAGGCUCAACCUCUGUACGGCACUGGAUACUUGCGAGCUAGAAUGCGGUAGAGGUAAAGGGAAUUCCUGGUGUAGCGGUGAAAUGCGUAGAUAUCAGGAGGAACAUCGGUGGCGUAAGCGCUUUACUGGGCCGUAAUUGACGCUGAGGAACGAAAGCCAGGGUAGCAAAUGGGAUUAGAUACCCCGGUAGUC